rnacentral:rRNA from 1 species
CCUACGGGAGGCAGCAGUGGGGAAUCUUGCACAAUGGGGGAAACCCUGAUGCAGCGACGCCGCGUGAGCGAUGAAGCCCUUCGGGGUGUAAAGCUCUUUCGGCAGGGACGAUGGUGACGGUACCUGCAGAAGAAGCUGCGGCUAACUACGUGCCAGCAGCCGCGGUAAU